rnacentral:rRNA from 1 species
GACGAACGCUGGCGGCGUGCCUAAUACAUGCAAGUUGAGCGCUGAAGGUUGGUACUUGUACCCACUGGAUGAGCAGCGAACGGGUGAGUAACGCGUGGGGAAUCUGCCUUUGAGCGGGGGACAACAUAUGGAAACGAAUGCUAAUACCGCAUAAAAACUUUAAACACAAGUUUUAAGCUUGAAAGAUGCAAUUGCAUCACUCAAAGAUGAUCCCGCGUUGUAUUAGCUAGUUGGUGAGGUAAAGGCUCACCAAGGCGAUGAUACAUAGCCGACCUGCGAGGGUGAUCGGCCACAUUGGGACUGAGACACGGCCCGAACUCCUACGGGAGGCAGCAGUGGGAAUCUUCGGCAAUGGACGAAAGUCUGACCGAGCAACGCCGCGUGAGUGAAGAAGGUUUUCGGAUCGUAAAAAUCUGUUGGUAGAGAAGAACGUUGGUGAGAGUGGAAAGCUCAUCAAGUGACGGUAACUACCCAGAAAGGGACGGCUAACUACGUG